ensembl:lncRNA
AUCAGCGUGAGCCCGCGCGGGCAGAGGUCAUGCUGCGGGGGGAGUCCGGUUCCCACGGCCCCUGCACCUCCCAGACGUCCGACCACGACGAUGAGGUGGGUGCGAGCUGUGAGGAGGCAGUGUGUCUGUGCCAGGCCGGUCCCUGUACACUUCAUUCAGAAGCGCACACGCCCACACCGGACACGCUGCUGUGCCGGCACUGUGGGAAGAACCGAGUCAUGGUGACCAGGUACUCAGAGGGAUACGGCACAGAGGAGGACGGCGUGCUGUCGGAGCCUCAGAGGGACAGUGAUGCAGACGCAGACAUCGAGGACACUGACUGCAGGCUGCAGGAGCCUGGAACUCUCCAACGAAUCAGCUCAAGGAGACGGAAGCGCCCCCAGGUGGCGAGACAAGACACCACAGAGAGCGAAGAUGAUGGUGGGCGGAGCCACAAGUCGCACCGCUGGAACUUGCGCCUUAGUCCUGACCGAUCUCACAGCAGGACCAUCCUGGAGGAGAGCGUGUCUCAGGUCAGGCCACUGGUCAUCAGCCACCCGAAUGUUGACGGUCAGAAGAAUCGUGAGGAAGAAAGUCGAAGCUCCAAACUGAAGCGCCUGUGGCCGCCAGCCCUCUCUGCUCCCCUCAUCCUCCUCCUCCUGCUGCCGCUGUCCCUCUCUGUCCUCAUCGUCAUUGUGUCCUUCCUCCUGCCGUGGACCAGGGCGUGACCCCACGCUCCAGUCUUCUCGUCUCAGACGCUGCUGUGGAACCUGGACGGAGAACCAGAUGCGCCUAUUUAGCCUUAAAGGGAAAACAACAGCAUUACAAAGGAUUUGGUUUAAAUUAAGUAACUAAUAUUGCUUUUUAGGAAAGAUGUCAAACACUGUUUGGGUUUAAAGUUCUCCACACUGCACUUUCUCAGACAUUUCCAGCUGUUCUCAGCAUCAGCUGGAGGAACUCCUGUCUCACCUGAGGUCUCCAGGCUAAAAACGCAUCUCUGCUUUGCUUCCUACUCUAAGUAACCUCAGGGGGAUCAGCGGGCAAAAGAUUUUCAAUUUACAACCCAAAUUCCAGAAGUGUUUUUAAGUUUGAACCAAAAAAAGAAGAAAAAGUUCAUAUCCCAGGAGGUAACAGUUUAUUCCGAACAGAGCAUGGAUAAAAACCGUCCAGACGGAGAAACGUCCCACUUUAUCCACUAAUUGAUCCACCCCAAAGCUGCAACCCUGCAGAAGGAGGACCUCAUCAUCUGCAUCUAAGGAAUGAGCCCGACUACCAGACAUGUGAUGAAGCUCCUGUGAUCAAACAGACCCCAACCGUGGCCCCUGUCUCCAGUGCUCAUGGGGAUCUCUGGGGUAUAAGGGAUCAUGUCAAAUAGCUUCUGAAAGACCACAAGAACAAACAGAAUAGAGGAUUUUAACAAGUCUAUUUGGCGUAUGGCGUAUACUUAUACUUAUAUUUCAUUUGAUGGAUGUGUAGAAAUUGAACCCCAAGACAGUCCUACAAGAUCCAUUGCUCUGGCAAACUCAGGACGCCCCUCAUUCAACCAGAAGCCCUGCAGCUGUAAAGUUUACCCAUCAUGGUAACCAUGGUGACCACGUACAUCCCUGUCCAACUACUCUGAAGCUAUGUUCACACUGCCCUCAACAACUGUCGUUCAUGCGCCUACUUUCAAUGAAAGAUCUUUGUAAACGAGCGUAAACGCGCAUUUCGGGCUUCUACGUUCAUAGCACUCGCGUUCUCGUGUAGCUACUCGCGUUUUUAAGCUAGUUUUUGGGCUCCACAUACAGAGGCCAUUGAACGCACAUUGAAAGGUAAACCAGGUUCCAGUUUGUCCAAUCAGGGACUAAGAUUAGAUAGUGACGUAUGGAUGAGGUUCCUUCUAUUCCAACCAUUUUAAAAAUUGAUCAUGGAGGAGAAAUUAUUAAUUGCGGUUUGUGACCGGCUGGAAUUCUAUGAAGUCUUUCAUUUAUCCAAUGGAACCGUGAAAGAAAGAGCCUGGAGCAAGAAUCACAAGAAUUUUACCGCUUUGACAUUUCGCCACAAGCCUCUCCCAACAGUAGUUGGUGGACAUGUGCUAGUAAACGUUAGAAAACGAAGAGGAAGCUCCUCCCUGCUCGUCUUGAACGCACAUCACAUUCCCUCUGUGAAUGUGGCUUGAGACCUGCAGCAGCAUCACAUUUGAAAUGAGCUCCUUUGGUGAAUGAAAGUGUCACAUUUCUCUUUUGAAAACACCUGAUGUAUUUGUUAAAAUGGACCGAAGUGAUGUGAGGGAUUUCAAACGCCUUCCAACUAUGCCAGAUGAGGGGGGUUCAGAGGAAUUGUUGAAAUGGGAAAAUGAUAUUGCUGCUCUAUGCAAACCCUUCUGCUUCCUUCUGCAGCUUCCCGACUGCGGUUAAAGAACGCCGCUUCCUGCCAUUUGCCCCCCCGUGACACUUUCUUUGUUGGUGCAGGGAGUUGUUGCUCUAAAACAGAGUUGGACCCAAACUGAAAAGCAAUAGCAUGAUCCAUCUGAUACAGCUCCUGUCAUGUGGUCUGCACAUGACAGGGUUAUUACCAGGGUUAUUUUGUAAAAGCAGCCGGUACCUGAUCACACCGCCAUGAAGCUGAGCCGUGAGGAAUGUUACACGUGUUUGUGUUUUGACCGUUUAGGGAGACUGAGCCUGACAAUCAGCCAUCCUGAACCUCCUGGUGUCUCUGUGUCCUGUUUGUCAUGGAUGAUCAUGCUGUACUGUGAUGUUUCCCCUCUUUUCCCCUUUUUUCUUUAAAACGUUUACUUAGUUUUAGGUGUUUAUGUGUUCAGCUCUUUGUAAAGGCAAUAGAAGUUCAAAAGGAAACUAGAUUGUAUUUUAACAAAUAAAUAAAAAGUAAAUAAAGUUUAUGCUUUGCAGAGCAAUAACAUGGUGUUUUUUGACACACUCCGAUGAAAAUGGUAUUUUUUACAUGUUCUCAAUGCAUUUUUCUGAUGAUGGAGGUUAGAUUUGUGACAAAUGAAGCUCAAAAUUGUACUUCUGGGUAUUUCUUUAUUCAAAUCAAUGUCAAUCAGGAGCAGAAGAAAAUAUGUCUUUAAAAAAGAUAGUAUAUCAGCAGCAGAGAUGGGAAGGGGGGGGCGCCAACAGUACUGCACAUGAACUGGGAACACUUUCAAAACACAUCAAAGCACGAUCAGAGUGGGACUUUGACAACACAAUGCAGGAAAUCUUUAAGUUUUCUUUAAAUAUAUUUUGAUUUUAUUCUAAAUCCAGCAGGAUCUUGUAGAUCUUCUGCUCCUCCUUUGGGUGGAGCCAGCUGAGCAGUUUGGACGCCUGGAGACAAUAACAAUCAGACAUCUCAAUGUUGAGGCGUCACUAGUUAGUCCAAACUUUGAGGAGUCCUGAAGACAGUCCCAGGAAAUGCCAGACAGAUUGUAUCUGUCUGCUGGCUGGCAUGGUUCCUGAGACUGCUGUCCCAAUGAGAUGAACUGCAGUCAAGAUGGAUGGCGGAUGGAUAGUAGCUCUAUACGGCAUGUCCAAAAACUAAGUCCAGAGCAGGGGUCUGCAACCUUUAACCCUUGUGCUAUCUUAGAUGACCCCACCCUUACAUAAACGUGUUAUUCCUACCAUGAUAAAGGUGGAUAAAGGUGGAAAGCUUUCAUGUAAUCCAUGGACACCAGUGAAGUUCACAAAUCAUUGAAGAAAAAAGGUUCAGCGAUGUAGUGGAUCUAGUUGACCCAAUUCCCAACGUUAAAGUACCUAGGAUAGCACAAGGUUAUUGCUAAAAGAGACAAUAUUUUACUGACGAAAAAGCCAGCGAGAGCCGCAAAAAUUCCAC